rnacentral:rRNA from 1 species
GGAGUCUGGGCCGUAUCUCAGUCCCAAUGUGGCCGUUCAACCUCUCAGUCCGGCUACUGAUCGCAGUCUUGGUGGGCCGUUACCCCACCAACUAACUAAUCAGAUAUGAGCCCAUCUUUCAGCGGAUUGCUCCUUUGGUAUCCCGGGGAUGCCCCCAAAAUACAUUAUGCGGUAUUAGCAGUCGUUUCCAACUGUUGUCCCCCUCUGAAAGGCAGGUUGCUCAUACAUUACUCACCCGUCCGCCACUAAGUCAAAUCCCUCUUCGACGAAUCUCCAAGAGAAGUGCUUCGUUCGACUUGCAUGUGUUAGGCACGCCGCCAGCGUUCAUC